AAGCCGGAGCUUGCUCUGGUGGAUUAGUGGCGAACGGGUGAGUAACACGUGAGUAACCUGCCCCUGACUCUGGGAUAAGCGCUGGAAACGGCGUCUAAUACCGGAUAUGCGCUGUAACCGCAUGGUUUGCAGCGGGAAAGAUUUAUCGGUUGGGGAUGGACUCGCGGCCUAUCAGCUUGUUGGUGAGGUAAUGGCUCACCAAGGCGUCGACGGGUAGCCGGCCUGAGAGGGUGACCGGCCACACUGGGACUGAGACACGGCCCAGACUCCUACGGGAGGCAGCAGUGGGGAAUAUUGCACAAUGGGCGCAAGCCUGAUGCAGCAACGCCGCGUGAGGGAUGACGGCCUUCGGGUUGUAAACCUCUUUUAGCAGGGAAGAAGCCUUCGGGUGACGGUACCUGCAGAAAAAGCGCCGGCUAACUACGUGCCAGCAGCCGCGGUAAUACGUAGGGCGCAAGCGUUAUCCGGAAUUAUUGGGCGUAAAGAGCUCGUAGGCGGUUUGUCACGUCUGCUGUGAAAACUGGAGGCUCAACCUCCAGCCUGCAGUGGGUACGGGCAGACUAGAGUGCGGUAGGGGAGAUUGGAAUUCCUGGUGUAGCGGUGGAAUGCGCAGAUAUCAGGAGGAACACCGAUGGCGAAGGCAGAUCUCUGGGCCGUUACUGACGCUGAGGAGCGAAAGGGUGGGGAGCAAACAGGCUUAGAUACCCUGGUAGUCCACCCCGUAAACGUUGGGAACUAGUUGUGGGGGCUUUUCUACGGUCUCCGUGACGCAGCUAAC
rnacentral:rRNA from 1 species